AUGAUCAUCCCAUGGCCCUACAUCACCUUUCACAAAAAUCAUCACAAGAACCAUAACUUCCCUUUCAUAUGACCAUAUAUGUAUAUAUUCCAUCCCAUUAUCCAAAAGAGUCACUACCACUUCAAAUUAAUUCUUCAUUUUUGUUGAAGAGACAGAUUCUUGAAUGCCAUUUUCUCUGUCAAAAUUCAUAGAUAAUAAUGUCUUCUUCACCAUUAAUAAGUAUUGCACACCCAUACUUCUGAGUCCCCAUGGAGUGGCACAGCGACUAACCGCACCUCAAGCUUGAUGGGGCCUCAAGCAAUGCCAUAAGCCCUAGAAGUGGGCACAUGCAAAAGCUUGUUAUUUCUUUCAGUAUUGUCACAAAAAAUGCCACCCAUCCAAAGAGGCCCUAAAAGAUUGCUGUAACAAAUCUGCAAAAUAUACUCCAUUCAUGAAAGUUUAAGAUUGCGCGCAAGCUCAAUGCUUCAAAGGCCAGCAAUGGACAUGUGCUCAAUAAUGGCAUGCCAUGGUACAUUGUUACAUAUCCAGGCACGAUCCCUUCGAAGUCCUAGACAUUAUAGGAGGUUCUAAAACAGCAAGAUUUCCCAAUAUACUCCAUUGAUGUACAGUAAGUACAUUGGUGUGCAUGUAUGUAUCAUGAAAAUAUAGAUAAAAUGCAUGAUUUUAGGGUUAGCUACCUAUUAUUUCAAACCUAGAAAAAUGUUUGAUACUGAAUCUCAUUUAUGGAAGAGCAUUCAAAUUUGCACAAUGCCUAUAAAUUUAGAGUUUGGUAA